AACGAACGCUGGCGGCAUGCCUAACACAUGCAAGUCGAACGAGACCUUCGGGUCUAGUGGCGCACGGGUGCGUAACGCGUGGGAACCUGCCCUUAGGUUCGGAAUAACUCGCCGAAAGGGGUGCUAAUACCGGAUAAUGUCUUCGGACCAAAGAUUUAUCGCCUUUGGAUGGGCCCGCGUUGGAUUAGCUAGUUGGUAGGGUAAAAGCCUACCAAGGCGACGAUCCAUAGCUGGUCUGAGAGGAUGAUCAGCCACACUUGGACUGAGACACGGCCCAGACUCCUACGGGAGGCAGCAGUGGGGAAUAUUGGACAAUGGGCGAAAGCCUGAUCCAGCAAUGCCGCGUGAGUGAUGAAGGCCUUAGGGUUGUAAAGCUCUUUUACCCGGGAUGAUAAUGACAGUACCGGGAGAAUAAGCUCCGGCUAACUCCGUG
rnacentral:rRNA from 1 species